GCACCCCUGGUGAACCAUGAGGGAAGGGGCCUAUUGUGGGGAGGCAGGGCCCUCUGAUUUCACUGGGUUACCAGGCUCCACCGGACAGGAGCCCUCUCAGGGCAGGCAUUGGGCCCCAUUCUGAAGUGGCCAGCGGACAGCCAGGCUUGGAGGUGGGCAGCUUCAUGCUCAGAGAAGAGCAGUUGGCACCCCUAGAGUGUGUCCUUCCACGAAGUUCAUCAGAGAUGGUGCUGGAGAAACCCUCGAGUCCCCACCAGGCUUCUGUCCUGGGCCAGCCCCAGGCUUUGGAAUGUGGCCAGGUGAGGCUCCCCAGCAG
rnacentral:lncRNA from 1 species